rnacentral:lncRNA from 1 species
GUUUCUCCUUUAUGGAAUUGGAACCAGAUAAGACGCUACGAGCUAAGCUGGGUGAUCAGCCCACGACAUAGCUCCGAACCCGCAUAUUCAAUACGAGUUCUCAAAUAUAAAGGAUCCUAGGCACACUUUGGCCUUUAAUAAUUCAAUUGGGACCGGCGCCUCGGUCAUAAAACAUUUUCAUCCAAUUCCCUUUCGAAAACAGAUAAAUCAAAUCAUUUUUCAUUUUAAAACCAAGGUUCAAAAUCUGUAAGCAACAAUGAUUCUCAACCAAAUAUUCAUUUCAACACCUUAGCAUUAGAGUUCUACUAAUUAAGUAUUCUUUAUCAAGGGUAUAGGUUACUGAAUCAAGUGUAUCAAUGUAUUUUAUAAUAAUGGCAGGGUAGGUUGUAUGAUGAUAACUAAGGUCUUUCAAGAAAUGGGGUUUCUUUUAUGGGUCAGAAACAAACAAGUGAACUUGUUUUAGUUUAUAAGCAAGAACACAAUUUGUUGUAGUUAAGAGAGAGGUAAGAAAACAAGAUUCUAAGCUCAAUAUUAAGUAACUGGCAGUUGAAGAAGAUAAGGAUGACAAUUAAGUUGAUACAUUUUCAAAAUAUAAGUGACAAAGGGUAUUCCAUUUCAUACUUGGACGCCCCCCCUAUCAAGCAAGAAAGAAGCGGCGGCUUUCAUCGUUGAUGAACACAUGCGCUAAUAAGGGGUGAUUCCAGAAUACUAGUUAAUUAGUAGAAGUCUAAUUCUAUGAGGAGUUUUGCAAUAUUCAAAGCAUAACAAAAGCAUUGCAGGAGAAAAAUCUUUUAAAGAGAAAGUAGGUUGGAUAUAUACUUGCCUUUAACUCCGGUGUCUAUCUCAAAUUUCUAUUAACACUAUGUAGUGCCAUAUCAUUCCUUUCAGCUAGCUUCUGACAAGAUUCUAUCAAUAGCAAAUCUCUGCCUAACUUCAACUUGCAACACUACCUUGGCUAUUUCUGAAUAUCCAUUUCAAUCACUUCUCGAUCCAUGCCACGAUCAACAUCUCGUUCAACUCUAUACGAUAAUAAAACAGUAUUUCAGUCGUCAAAUCCGACUGAUUAACUAACUCCAAAAGGCAUUAAGACCUAUAUAUAACUACCCUUCGCAUAUACAUACCACGUAGCCAGAUAAACACAUAGCACAUAGUUGAACAAUUAACUUUUAUAGAUAUUAAAAGUCAAUAUUGAUAAGUUAACAUAUAACAUGUUUCAGUUAACCAUGUCACCUUAUUCUAAUCUAUUUAAUAUCCUUUAACAAGUAAAACAUAUAUAGUUUCUAACGAAAAUUCGACAGCACUUCCUCUAUUUAUCGGACUAUCCACCUGUUUUCUUAUAUUAUUCAACAAGUAACCAGCUCAAUCCAACUCAAUAAACCAAUAAGUACGGGACCAAUAUCAGUUAAAACACAAUAUCACAGUAUGCACACUCACAUCGCUAGAUUUGAAAUCAUAUAUCACUGUUAGACAUGAUUAACACUGAUCAACCAAGUAUAACCUCCUCCUAUGCACUAAUCAAAGAAAGAAAACUAGAACAAAUAGUUCAAACAGCCCUCACUCUAUGAUUUUUAAUAAAUUGAAAAUUUAUCUUUUUAAUACAAAAUUUUUAUGAGACACUCCUAAACAUUAUUCCAAUCUACUAUAAAAAUUUCAGAAGCAAAUUCCAUGUUUAAGAGAGUAAAACAGGGCCUGCAAGUCAAGAACCUGAAUCUGUCCUGCAGAACCAGCCCCACGCUAAGAAUUUUAAUAAAUAGAAAAAUUGGUCUGUUUGUAUAAAAUUUUAAUGACAUAUUCCAGACACUAACAUCUAACUCCAGUAAAAAUUUCAGAAUUAAACACCAAGUAUAAGGCCUCCAAACAGAGUCUGCAAUCAGUACAACAGACCCUGUCGAGGAACUCUGCGCACGAAGCACCUCUUUGAUCAUAACUUUUAACUCAAUUAUGAUUAUAAUCUAAUUCUUUCGCAGGUGUAAUCUACACUCCAAAUUGUAACUUGUCACCAAAAUUCAUUGAAAUAUAACAUUCUUAAGACAACUAAAUGUUUGUACCAAAAUAGUAGAAAAUGGUAGCCACUCGAGAACCAAUCUGCACCUAUACAACUCAAUCGCUUAUAACUUUUAAUACAUUUAGCAAAACAUAGUAAUUCUUUUUCAUACUUAAUCUAAACUUCAAGAAACAUAAAAUCACCGAGAAAUCAAGCAUAUCAUACGAACUAAACAAUUCCAAAACAGAGAUUCAAAACAAGACAGCACUGCUACGGAAGCUUGACAACAAUUGACUCAAUUCUAAUGCCACAACUCAAACUAAUCAAAACCCAUAUAACUACAUAUCUUUAUAUGUGUAAUCUGAUUCGAAUUAAAAAAAAAUACUAAUUCACAGCUUUAGACAUCACACAAGCAGGUCUGUACAUAUACAUACACACAAAACCAAUAAAGGAGACAAUUCAAAAUAUACCCAAUUAGAAUAACCAGAGGUGUAGGUGGGUUGUGGCCAAUAGAGUUAAUUGACCGGAGAACUGAAGUAUAAGGCUGGCUUCGAGGGCCACUGUGCAGCGACUGGAGAUGUGGUAGGAGGCUAGGAGCGGAGGAUGGCAGCUACGGAGAAAUCCGGCGGCGGCAGGACAACCCGACAAAGCACGGUGCCGGGAAACGAAGCAGCGGGUACAAAGGUGAAAGAUGGAAGCGGGUGAGUGUUCAGAGAGAGAGAGAGAGACGCGAGAGAUUGAGGGAUAGCAAGGGAUUGAGGGAGAUUGAGAAACAGUGACGAGAGAGAAUUGAUGAGAGACGAGGGUUUUAGAGUCUGUAAAUUAGGGAAGAAAGAUGUACGUGGCAGUAGAAUAGAAAGGAUACAUGACCACGCGGCUUAAUUAUAACCUGCCAUCUAUUAUUUUAUAUAUUGACUAAUCAACUAUCAAAUACCCGCUUUUAACUGAUUUACGGAGAUAAAUCACAGCAAAAUUUCUCCCGACAACUACCGAAAUAUUUUUAUAAAUCCCGAAAUAUCAUAAAACUAAUCAAAUAAAAGUUUCGGGAUUUAUAGAGCAUUUUCAAAAUUUGUACAAAUUUCUGAAAUUAGUUGUGUUUAGGAAAUAUUUAAAAAUCAUACCUUUAUAAAAAUAAUAUAUUUAAUACUUUAAAACUCCUUAAAAUAUUUAUAAUCAUUUUCAAGUAAUUAAAAGAAUUUUUCAAAUCAUUUUUAUUUUCUUAGAAAUUCAUUUUUUUGUAAUCCAUUUUUAAGUAAAUCAUAAAUAUUUAUAAAACAACACAGCAGUUACUAACAAAUAUACACACAAGCAUAAAUCACAUCCAGAUAAUAAAGUUAAAUCAUGGAACAAGUAAUUCACAUAUUUUACAUGGUAUUCAAUUCAAAACAGACAACAAAUUUCAAUACCCUAAUGAACCGGAAAAAUAAUUUAAACAAAUACUUUUAAAAUUUAUUAAACUAGAAUAAAAUAUUAGAUUUUUAUUCCACAUUUUCUGAAGAAUCACAAAUAAACUAACAAAAUAAAUUUCCAAAGAUCCGGGUCGUCACAAUCUACCCCCCUUAAAAGGAUUCCGUCCUCGGAAUCAGCGAGAAGCAAACUAAAGCGUAUGAUCUCUAUAUCCGUCAUACUUUUUCUUUCUUCUAUAAAUUUUUUGUUGAUCGCCUCCGUAUACCCGCAUUGUCAUCCGUUUUCAUCCCUGGUGCUUCAUACUACAAAGUCUUAAUUCAUGUUGGCAACUUGGUUGGCAUACCUCCAAAGUCUUAGAGAUAACAAGAAUCUUGAAGAUUUAAAAGUAUGACUGAUUUCCUAUAUCGAAGCAAAUGUCACGUGACUGUGGUCAUAUGAUUAUGAGUUUGUUGAAUAAAUCUUAUUUGAAUGAGAGAAUAACUGAGAGACCAAUAUGAUCUAAAGAACUCGGUGUUGCGUGUCUAUAUUACGACACUACUAAAGGUAGUUAACCUUCUUGUAAUGUACAACACACACAAGUGAUGGCGUCCCAUCCAACUCCUAUCACACAGAUAGGUAGUCCUUGUGUCCCCUAUCAGUAGGGUUGUUCACCUCAGUUAGAGUAGAGAAUAUGAAAGCGUUUGAAAUUAUUAAAAUUGAAUAGAUUCUAAAGAUGUUACAGUAAGCACAAGUAUCAUUCGAGAACUCAAGUUAAAGGUAAAAAUAUAUUCUUUAUCAAAUAUCUUUGUGAAAGUGAUGUCAGAACAAAUCAUUGAUGGGGAAGGAAAUCAAUAUAAUUAACAAUGAGGAAGGUAUUGCCAGGAUUCUCACAGAUGUCUUCUUGAUCGAUUCCUUUGAUGACUCGUUCUGAUUCCAGUGAUUCUUCUUGACGUUCUAGUGAUCACUUGCAUAUAUUAUCGUUGACUCGUAAUAGCCUCUGCAGAUCCCAUCAUUGAUAUCGUUGUCGAUCAAAAGUCUUAUCCAAAUUUAUACAAUCAUCACCAUAGAGCGUUGACGUCUUAACUCACUCAUAACUACUAUAUCGAGUAAUCUAACACGAAUUCUAUGUAGCUCCAACGCUCACUACUUAACUAUAUACAAAGUUUUAAACUCGAACCUGGUAACACCUAUAUUCUUUCACCAAUUCCAUAUAUCUCUGAUAAGAAUCAAAAGGUGACUCUCCAAAUAAUACUCAACACUUGGAGGAUACUAUAAAGAAUACAUUAGACUGUGUUAGAAACACUAGUCCAACCUCAAGUGGUUCUAAUUUCAAAGUUCUUAUAAUAGUCUAACUCUGAUCCUCUCUAUAUGACUUACUAAAUUAGUCAAUAUACUAGGGCUAGAAGAACUAGAAUUAGGAAUUGUGAUGUCUAUAACUAUAAACACUUAAACUUAAUCAUCUAGCUCCAUUUUAUUCUGCUUAGAAAGACUAUCCCCAAAUAGUCUUACGGUACCUCUAUGUGAGGUUACACCACGUAAUCCUUUUUAUCAAACCUAUUAUUACAAUCUACAUUCUGAUUUCAAUAACUUAUAACCUGUAGCUCUGAUACCAACUGUGACAUCCCUCAAAUCCGGGGGUCUGGAUCUGGUGCCACUAAAAGAAAAACAAUUGAAAACCAGUAUUUUUUUUUCUAAAGAAAGUAAAAACAAGUAUUUCAAACCUGGAUAUUAAAAAAAUUGAUUUACACUUUUGAAACAUGUAUUGUUGAAAAACUAAUAAAAAUCAAAGAAUUGAAAACCUAAAAGCUUUAAUAAAAGAUUUAAAAGAACAAAGUUUAACCCCCUUUAAAAGAGGAUCGCAAACAGGCUAUAGUAUUGAAAUCAGAAAAGUAAAACUAAUAAAUCCUAUUACAUGUUUUUACAACUAAAUCAAAUUUAGUCAACUCCAAUUACCACUAGUCCCACAGACUCGAUCUUGAUUACUCUUCCUGACCAUCAGGUUGAAACUUAAUCACUUGCAAUCCUCGCCUAGCCUUACUCUUACGCUUAGCAUAAAUAGGCGAACCAUCUUUAACAUUAUCUGAAAGGGGUUAGAAGAAAUAGCAAGAAUGAGCAAAAGAAUGCUCAGCAAGUAUAUAAUAUCCAAACCAACAAUAAAUCAAACAGUAUGUAAAACCUGACAAUGAUAUAAAGAUAAUGAUACCAACACAAUAUGAUUUAAACAAAACAGUUUCUCCUUUAUGGAAUUGGAACCAGAUAAGACGCUACGAGCUAAGCUGGGUGAUCAGCCCACGACAUAGCUCCGAACCCGCAUAUUCAAUACGAGUUCUCAAAUAUAAAGGAUCCUAGGCACACUUUGGCCUUUAAUAAUUCAAUUGGGACCGGCGCCUCGGUCAUAAAACAUUUUCAUCCAAUUCCCUUUCUAAAACAGAUAAAUCAAAUCAUUUUUCAUUUUAAGACCAAGGUUCAAAAUCUGUAAGCAACAUUGAUUCUCAACCAAAUAUUCAUUUCAACACCUUAGCAUUAGAUUUCUACUAAUUAAGUAUUCUUUAUCAAGGGUAUAGGUUACUGAAUCAAGUGUAUCAAUGUAUUUUAUAAUAAUGGCAGGGUAGGUUGUAUGAUGAUAACUAAGGUCUUUCAAGAAAUGGGGUUUCAUUUCUGGGUCAGGAACAAACAAGUGAACUAGUUUUUUUUAUAAGCAAGAACACAAUUUGUUGUAGUUAAAAGGGAGGUAAGAAAACAAGGUUCUAAGCUCAAUAAUAAGUAACUAGCAGUUGAAGAAGAUAAGGAUGAUAAUUAAGUUGAUACAUUUGCAAGAUAUAAGUGACAAAAGGUAUUCCAUUUCAUACUUGGGUAAUUCCAGAAUACUCGUAAUUAGUAGAAGUCUAAUUCUAUAAGGAGUUUUGCAAUAUUCAAAGCAUAACAAAAGCAUUGCAGGAGCAAAAUCUUUUAAAGAGAAAGUAGGUUGGAUAUAUACUUGC